UUCGAAAACUAAAUAACAUAUAAGCAUAGCUUAAAAUAUAAGAUAAGGUCUUCAUGUGGACAGACCAAGAUCAAUCAUCUAGGAGAUAGGAGAAGUAGACUUGUGGCCUCGUUAAAAACCUUCCUUUGGAAAACCUAGUGGGACAAAACCAAAGGUUAGGAAAAGAGCACACACAAGCUACUUGCCUAGAUGAUGAUCAGCUUGAAGGUGGAGUAGCUUGAAUGAUGGUUAAGGUGUCUUGGAUGAUCAAGCUUCGGCCAAGACUAAUAUAUUCUUCUUGUUUCCAAAUGUUCUUCAAGGUUGCAUCCUCAGCUACAAGCUCUUCAGGUUCAGGUUCAUGCUUCCAGCCCUUGGUGCUUUCCAUGAUCAUAUCAUCCCCUCCCACUUCAAAAAGAUUUGUCCUCAAAUCUGUGUUACCUGCAAUAGAAGGGACCAAGUCAGUAACAUCAGAGUUUAUAAUCAGAUUACACUUACCUUGCAAGCCUCUUUGAUAGGCAUUAUCGCUGACUGGUUCUAUUAUAUAGAAGGGACUGAUCCAUUUGGCUCUCCUUACUCCUGAGGCAUUACUUAAACCUGAUACAUUGAAACAAGACAAGUGAACACAAGCAAAAACAUCAUAGAGUAAGAGUCUUAUCCCAAAGUUGUAUUUUAUCGGUUUUGGCUUGUAUGCUGCAUCUGGAGGUUCUUCUUUGAUGAGGAUGAAGCAAGUGACGUCCUGUUGCCUCUCCUGGUUUAGAUCAGGCGGCUUGAAACGUUUGUCUUCCUCACGCUUGUUCUUUGUCUUUGCAUGCUUCAAAGCUUCCAUAUAAUCUGCACAUGACUCUUUUGACAAAAACAAGUGCAUCAUAUCUGUGUAAUCAAUAAAAGAACUCUUGAAAACAUGAUUGGUUACCUUAGCAUGCUCACCUGGUCGCCAUAUAUAGGAUUGAGAUGUUCUAUACUCAGAAAAAUUCAAACAAAGCAAACACAGAAUCACCCGUCUUGUAGAACCCAUAACUCUUUUAUUUGAGAAGCUUUGGUCAUGAUUCCAGUUCGACGUGAGACCCUGAUGAGUGUAGUUUCCAUUGCAGUUGAGUUUGUUGCUUAAUUCCUUCUGGUUGCUGAGAUAUGAUCCUCGGACUGCUCCUAUGUCAAAGUUGGCGGCUAGACAGCUUCCAAGAUUUGAUUGUUGCAUCUCCAAUUUAGCCAAGGAUCCAUUCUUGAUACUCUGAUCAUUACUAUAGCCUCGGGUUGGUUUAUUUGGAGAUUGAUGUAGACUGAGUCCAUCUGGUGGUUUCUCCUUGAUUUGAGAAGAAAACAUGAGUUCUCCUCCUAUUCCAGUAAUCACUUCACCAUUUAAUCUAGUGAAAUCUCCAUCUCCACUCUUGGUUUGACAAUCUCUGAAAUGGUAUUGAAGCUUUUGCAAAUCUGGUGGCUUCCACACCUUGACAUGAUCAAGAAGCAAGGCAUUUUGAUCAGCUUCCAACUCUUUAUUGCCCCAACUGGUUCUACUACGAGCAGAGCACUCUCCAAGGAUGAUAAGUAUGCUGGAAUAUGCUCCAGUUUUCCACAAGUAGAACUGUAACCUUCCACCCCAAUCUGAUAUAAGCAGCUCACAGAAUUUGGCUAAACCGAAAUGUUUGGCGGAAUUGACAAUAUCUUGAUGAUCAGGAGGCCAUUUGCUGCGUUUUCUGGUUUGUUGGAUCCAGGAGAGAGUGGGUAACAUUCUCCAAUUGGUUUCGUAGUGAAACUCUUGCUGAGCUGAGACGUGCAUCCCUUUAGCUUCAGAGGGUAAAAGAUCACCAAAAACAAUUGUUGUUGCUGCCGAUUUCUUCUCAAUCACUAUGGGAUUGUUCCUGUGAUUCCACAACUCUCCUCCAGGCUCAAAUACAACAUGUUCCAUGCCCAGUUGGUGUCUUGAAAGCUCUACUGCUCUGGUCUUGUUCCACACAAAAGGACUGAUGAGAAAAGUACCCAAGAAUGUCCUUUGGAAACCGUUUGAAUCAGUGACAAAUAGAUGCUCUACUCCACUGUCUGAUUUUGAUUCCAUGGGUGCCUCCUCUUCUAUUACAUCCUGUUUGAAGAGAAUCAGGUCGUCCUUGAUGGGUUGAUCAUCUUUCUGAAUGGUGAUUGUUGGAAUCUCGGUUUGAUCUUCUUGAACUAGUGCAGCCAAGUCUGAUUGUGCAACUGAGUCUGGUUCUGCAUCUUUGAGUUCUGAGACAGUUGAGGAAAGCGCUUGGUUCUGUACUUCUAAGGAUGGAGAUAUAGUCUUGGACUGUUUAAGUUGUUUCUCCACAUCCCUAAACGCUUGUGAAAUUGCCUUCCUUAUGCUAUCUUCAAAGGAAUGGGUUGAUGUUUUGCUUGAUGAAACCAGGUUACUAGAUGGACUUGAUCUCUUACUGUCUGGUUGUUUCUGAACUGAUAAUGAAGAACAUAGAUAUGUCUCAGGCUGCUUUUGAAUAACUUCCUUGUGGUACUGUCUUGGAACGUACUCUCUACGCAUCAAAGCCCUCAGCUUAAGCCAUGUUUCCACUGGUUCUUUUCCAUCAAGUCUUCUGCACUUUAUCAACUGAUUCCACCAUCUUAAAGCAUGACCACAAAACUCAGCAGUAGCCAUUUGAAUCUUCUUUCUUUCAGCAUAGUGUUGACUACUGAAAAUCAACUCAAUCUUCUUUUCCCACUUCACAUAAGCUUCAGGAGCCGCCUUGCCAUGGAAUGGAGGGAUUUGAAAUUCAUAUACAGCAUGCUUCCGGUUCCUGUCAAACUGAUCAAACUCUUUUUGCUUGUACUCAUCGCUGGUUGAUCUUGAGCAUUCUCUAUUUUUCUUUGGAUGAUGUUUUCCUUUGUGCUCCUUCUCCAUUGGUACCUGAGACACAAAUAAAACAGAAACCAGUAACUAGUUCUAAGAGAAACAACACUCAGAAUUAACAACAGAUCAAUUUUAAAACGACAAGCAAAUCAAAUAAAACAGUUUGAUAAUCAGAACAAUUCACCAACGCAAUAUGAUCGAUCAAUCUUAAACAGAGACAGAUUAAAUUCGAAAUCUAAUCAACCAAACAAGAUAGAUUAUAUUCAAAGCAAUAAGAACAGAUCGGAAUCACACAAAUCCAAAACAGAAACAGAUCAAGCAAAUCGAUUACUUCUGCAACAAGAAUGUGAAAAGUUUUUUUAUCAAUAACGAGAUCAACAAGCUUGAAUCUAAUUAAAACUCAACAACACAAUCAUAGAUCAAUCAAAACUAGUGAGAAUAAGAAUAGAUCGACAGGUUUUUAGCAAAAACAAACGGAUUUAUCAGAUUUAAACGCCAAGAACACAGAUCAGAUCAAACUCGACAGAAUAUGAACAGACCCAAACGAAAAUCAGAGAGAAAAAUCAAACACUUCCCUUCCAGAGUUGCUCUGAUACCACUUGAUGAGAUCCUAGGAUGAUGCUCUGGAACAGAUGGGAUAAUCCUUGCAGAAACGAAUCAAAAGACUCAAGCUUCUCAAGGUAUGUGGAUCGAAUGGUGACACAAGAGGCUGCGGAAAUGCUUCUUGAUACUCCUAGGCUUAGAUCGGAUAUGACACACCUCUCUAAAGCCCUUGGGCGUUGGAUAUUACACACCAACAGACUGGAUAUUACACACCAGACACACUUCAACUCGUCCAAGACAAGAGAGAAGAGAGAAAAGGGUUUUUGAUAAAAGAUUGCUUAAUCAUAAAAGAAGAUGGCUACAAGCUUAUAUAGAGAAGGCUGGAACAGGCUCCACUUCUCGAAUUCAUUAAAGGGAACAGGCUCCCUUGGUAAUCUAAAAACAAGACUAAGACUUAUUCAAAUUUUAAAAGAGUUUCGAAAACUAAAUAACAUAUAAGCAUAGCUUAAAAUAUAAGAUAAGGUCUUCAUGUGGACAGACCAAGAUCAAUCAUCUAGGAGAUAGGAGAAGUAGACUUGUGGCCUCGUUAAAAACCUUCCUUUGGAAAACCUAGUGGGACAAAACCAAAGGUUAGGAAAAGAGCACACACAAGCUACUUGCCUAGAUGAUGAUCAGCUUGAAGGUGGAGUAGCUUGAAUGAUGGUUAAGGUGUCUUGGAUGAUCAAGCUUCGGCCAAGACUAAUAUAUUCUUCUUGUUUCCAAAUGUUCUUCAAGG
rnacentral:lncRNA from 1 species